rnacentral:rRNA from 1 species
UAAACUCCUUUUUUCAGGGAGGAAGUUCUGACGUGUACCUGAAGAAUAAGCAUCGGCUAACUCCGUGCCAGCAGCCGCGGUAAGACGGAGGAUGCAAGUGUUAUCCGGAAUUAUUGGGCGUAAAGCGUCUGUAGGUGGUUUAUCAAGUCUAUUGUUAAAGGAUAAAGCUCAACUUUAAAACUGCAAUAGAUACUGUUAGGCUCGAGUACAGUCGAAGUAGAGGGAAUUUCCAGUGAAGCGGUGAAAUGCGUAGAUAUUGGAAGGAACACCAAUGGCGAAAGCACUCUACUAGGCUUUAACUGACACUGAGAGACGAAAGCUAGGGUAGCAAAUGGGAUUAGAUACCCCAGUAGUCCUAGCCGUAAACGAUGGAUACUAAACAUUGCGUGUAUCGAUCCGCGUGGUGUUAUAGCUAAC